rnacentral:rRNA from 1 species
UGAGCAAUCUGCCCUUCUCAUCGGAAUAAGCGUUGGAAACGACGUCUAAUGCCGAAUACGACCUCCUUUCGCAUGAUCGGAGGUGGAAAGCUCCGGCGGAGAAGGAUGAGCUCGCGGCCUAUCAGCUAGUUGGUGUGGGUAACGCCCACCAAGGCGACGACGGGUAGCCGGCCUGAGAGGGUGACCGGCCACACUGGGACUGAGACACGGCCCAGACCUCCGUACGGGAGGCAG